GGGAGUGUAGCUCAGUGGUAGAGCGCUUGCCUUGAAUGUGUGAGUCCCUGGGUUGGACUCUCAGCACCA
rnacentral:tRNA from 1 species